CCUACGGGUGGCAGCAGUGGGGGAUAUUGCACAAUGGGGGGAACCCUGAUGCAGCGACGCCGCGUGGGUGAAGAAGCGCCUCGGCGCGUAAAGCCCUGUCAGCAGGGAAGAAAAUGACGGUACCUGAAGAAGAAGCCCCGGCUAACUCCGUGCCAGCAGCCGCGGUAAUACGUAGGGGGCAAGCGUUAUCCGGAUUUACUGGGUGUAAAGGGGGCGCAGACGGGGAUGCAAGCCAGGAGUGAAAGCCCGGGGCUCAACCCCGGGACUGCUCUUGAAACUGCGUGGCUGGAGUGCAGGAGGGGCAGGCGGAAUUCCUGGUGUAGCGGUGAAAUGCGUAGAUAUCAGGAGGAACACCGGUGGCGAAGGCGGCCUGCUGGACUGCAACUGACGUUGAGGCCCGAAAGCGUGGGGAGCAAACAGGAUUAGAUACCCCAGUAGUC
rnacentral:rRNA from 1 species